rnacentral:rRNA from 1 species
UGAACGCUAGCGGCAGGCUUAAUACAUGCAAGUCGUGGGGCAGCAUGAGUAGCAAUACUUGAUGGCGACCGGCAAACGGGUGAGGAGCACGUACACAACCUUCCUUCAGCGGGGAAUAGCCCAGAGAAAUUUGGAUUAAUACCCCAUAAUAUAUUUGAUAAGGCAUCUUAUUAAUAUUAAAGCUUCGGCACUUGAUGAUGGGUGUGCGGCUGAUUAGAUAGUUGGCGGGUAACGGCCCACCAAGUCUACGAUCAGUAGCUGAUGUGAGAGCAUGAUCAGCCACACGGGCACUGAGACACGGGCCCGACUCCUACGGGAGGCAGCAGUAAGGAAUAUUGGACAAUGGACGAAAGUCUGAUCCAGCCAUGCCGCGUGAAGGAUUAAGGUCCUCUGGAUUGUAAACUUCUUUUAUAUGGGACGAAAAAAGGGCAUUCUUGUUCACUUGACGGUACCAUAUGAAUAAGCACCGGCUAACUCCGUG